GACGAACGCUGGCGGCGUGCUUAACACAUGCAAGUCGAACGAAGUGGCGAACGGGUGAGUAACGCGUAAUCAACCUGCCCUUCAGAGGGGGACAACAGUUGGAAACGACUGCUAAUACCGCAUACUGAAGGAGGGGAGUGCGUCUGAUUGGCUGGUUGGCGGGGUAACGGCCCACCAAGGCGAGGCUCAGUCGCCGGUCUGAGGUGAUGAACGGCCACAUUGGGACUGAGACACGGCCCAGAAUCCUACGGGAGGCAGCAGUGGGGAAUCUUCCGCAAUGGACGAAAGUCUGACGGAGCAACGCCGCGUGAGUGAUGACGGCCUUCGGGUUGUAAAGCUCUGUUAAUCGGGACGCGGUACCGGAAUAGAAAGCCACGGCUAACUACGUGACAGCAGCCGCGGUAAUUC
rnacentral:rRNA from 1 species